AUUGAACGCUGGCGGCAGGCCUAACACAUGCAAGUCGAACGGUAACAGGAAGCAGCUUGCUGCUUUGCUGACGAGUGGCGGACGGGUGAGUAAUGUCUGGGAAACUGCCUGAUGGAGGGGGAGAACUACUGGAAACGGUAGCUAAUACCGCAUAACGUCGCAAGACUAAAGAGGGGGACCUUAGGGCCUCUUGCCAUCGGAUGUGCCCAGAUGGGAUUAGCUAGUAGGUGGGGUAACGGCUCACCUAGGCGACGAUCCCUAGCUGGUCUGAGAGGAUGACCAGCGACACUGGAACUGAGACACGGUCCAGACUCCUACGGGAGGCAGCAGUGUGGAAUAUUGGACAAUGGGCGCAAGCCUGAUGCAGCCAUGCCGCGUGUAUGAAGAAGGCCUUCGGGUUGUAAAGUACUUUCAGCGGGGAGGAAGGGAGUAAAGUUAAUACCUUGGCUCAUUGACGUUACCCGCAGAAGAAGCACCGGCUAACUCCGUG
rnacentral:rRNA from 1 species